rnacentral:lncRNA from 1 species
CUAUGUGUAAGCUGAAAGGGACCAUGCACUCACCUGAAAGGUGGUGACUCAGCACUCGGACAGCGCUUCGAUACACUUAAAACAAUUCUCCUUCUAUAAAAUCUAGUAUCAAUACCACUAGGCUUUAGUCUAACGUCAACCAUGACUAAUUAAUAGUCUGACUAUUAUUAUUAUUAUUAUUAUUAUUAUUAUUAUUAUUAUUAUUAUUAUUANCGAGUAAUUAAUAGUCUGAUUAUUAUUAUUAUUAUAUAAGCGUUAAAUAACACUCAAUAUAAUUCAUAAUAAUAGCCCAAAUAAUUAUUUUAAGGACCUAAUAAUAUUCCUAUAAUUAUUUGAAAGCUAUAUUUAGAAUUGCGUAAGCAUAGCUCACUUACAACGGAUUUUAAAGAAAACCAGGGUUUGCUCGGAGCAGCGUUUCCGAAACCGAAAGACCCUUUUUUUCUCAGGACUCUGGGAGCCUCGGGGCUUCCUUAGGGUGCUAGGGGAUCACCUAGGCUUAGGGGAGGGUUGAAACCAUUAGAGAGAGAAAGUUUAGAGAGGGAGAGACAUGAGAAAGUUGUGAGAAAUUUGGAGGAGUUCGGACCCCUUUUAUAGGCGCCAGCAGCCUCGGUUACGCUGGGCGUACCAAGGUUAUGUUGGGCGUACACCUCGGAUAAGGUUGCCAGCUAAAGCCAGCUGUCUCGCACCGUCGGAUGGAUCAGAUCGGAGCUACGCACCGUCGGACGGGGUGCGUACUGCGAGGAUGACAUGUCACAAUCCGAAGCGAAGCCUUCGUCAACAAGCAACGGCCCAGAUGCAGCCACGUCAUCAACCUCGCAACAGGCCUUGCAAAUUUACUUUCUGACUUCUAAAAAUCAUAACUUUCGCAUACAAGCUCUGUUUUUUACGUUCUUUAUAUCAACACGAAGGUGGGAACGUGUUAUACAACUUUUGUUUAGACUCCGUCGGCUAAUUUUGAUUUUAUUUUAAAAUUUAUAUUAUUAACAGGCCGGGACAGGAUUGGUCCGUUAAAUUCUCAUAACUUCUUCAUCUGACGUCCGUUUUUGCCCAUCUUUUUCUCUUUACGCUACUCUUAACAAGAUCUUCGAUUCUCGUUUAAGUUGUGUCGGCUAAAAACCGCUCGAUCUAAUAUUCGAAUUUCGGGUUAUACACUGCUAAGCCGAAACUUCGAAAAAUCAUAACUUCCUCAUACGAAGUCAUAUUUGGGCGUUCUUUUUAUGGAUGCUCUCGGUUUAAGAUAUUGUACAAAUUUUGUUUAGAUCACUAAGGCUAAAUCUCGCUCUAUCGUAAAUUCACUGUUUACGCUUCCCAGUGCCGUGCCGGUUCCGUCGCGAAACUUCGACGGGCCAUAACUUCUUCGUUAUAACUCGGAUUUCGGCGUUCUUUAUAUGUACGGAAACCUUGUGACAUAUUCUAAAAAUUGGUUAAGACUAUUUAUUAUAAAUAAUCUUUUGACGGAAAGUCGUUUUCGACACUUAUUGCCUCUAAAUUGAGUAGCCCGGAUCUGCGGGCAUUACAAUUAUCUCCCCCUGAGGAUGAUUACGUCCCGGAAUCAUCAACGAAACAGGGCUCGUAUAAUGAUUCCAUAUGUCAUCUCUUCAUCCUAGGUAAUAAUUAUAACUUCUAUAUUCCUUCAAGCCUAUCUCUUAGACUUAUUGACUAUAACAGUACUUGAUCGUGCACCUGCUCUCUACCUUAGGUUAGACUCCAAAUUAUAACCUAUCAUCAUGUGAUGCAUGUUUAGACUCAGGUCUGUUAGAGUUAAAUUCUAAAACAGACUAUGCCUUCCUUCAUGUUCUAAUGUGAUAUAAUCACACUUUAACAUGUAGCAUUUCUAGCUACCAAAUUCUGUAACAAUGAGCGCGAUACUUCUAUUGAUCGCUUUGAUUUCAAUUAUUUGGUUUAAGUCGGACGCUACAUCAAAAUUGGUUCUCUGAACCACGUAACCUACUCAUCGUAGUCGAACUCAAUGUGAUAUGACCAUUAGGGUCGGGAUAACAACAAUCUUCUUAGUCAUUACCGAAACAAUGGUAACGACAUACUUGAAUAAAACGAAAUCAAUUACUAGCUUCUUGGUAACCUUGUGACUUUCCCUGAUCCAAAUGUGAGUUUUGUGCUUCCGGUAGUAUAGGCCUCUAUUACCAUCCACACCUACUGAUACUCAUCCCAAGUAUUGUCUCGUAGUUUUCCAAGUCACCAUACAAGAAAAUCACAUAACAGUUUAACACAUCAAAUAUCAAAACAAAGGUUUUAUAAUAUUCCUUGAAAUGUUUACAUAGGUGUUCAAGUUCACCCUAAACUAUGCACCUAACCGGCUACAUCGCAAGGUACUAUCUACAUGAUUACUCCAUAACUUGGUCCUUAGAUGUCAAGACUUCACUCCUGAAUCCUCGCAUUGUCAUCUGCUUCAUCAAGGAUCAUUUGAAAUACUCUCGCCUUUGGCUUUGGCAACACAUUUGGCUUUGUAGCCCCCUCUCUCUUUCGACAGUCUUGCUUGAAGUGCCCUUCCUUGUUACAUCCGUAACACACCCUUUUGUUGAAUGUACACUCGUUGGCAUAGUGCCCAUGCUUCCUACACUUGAAACAAGUCACCUCCUCACCGCAUUUUCCAGUGUGUUUCUUUUUUCACUUUUUGCACCAUCUUUCUUCACUUCCUCCUCCUCUUUCGAACUUCUUCGAGAAUUUUCUCUUCUCGUUGGACUUUAAUGAUCCUCCAAAUUUCCUUUUCUCUCCCACCUCUGCUCUCUUCAGACCCUUCUCUCGUAUCUGGGUCUCCACAUUUUUAGCAGUCCAGAUGGCGACUUUCAGAGUGGUAUUUUGCUUGACCAUUGGACCAAAAUCCGCUGGUAAUCCGAGGGCAAACUUCUUAACCUUGGAGAGUUCAGUUAGGACGAGGUGUGGAACAAGCUUCAUUUUCUCAGUAAAGCUUACAGCGUAUUCAGUUACGCUCAUUCUUCCCUUCUUCAGAUUCUGGAAUUCGUUGUUGAUCUCCAGAAAAUCCUGCUCAAAGUAGUAUUGCAUCUUCGACUGCACCAGAAAAUCCUCCCAUGACAUCUUGCUUGCUUCACCUUUGUGCAUUGAAUCAGCCAGUAGCUUCCACCAGCUUAGUACUCUAGAUUUGAACAGAGGAACCGCGAGAGAGGUCUUCUGCCUAUUGCUACACUCGCAACUCUCAAACAUUGUCUCCAUAUCAGAGAUCCAGUUCAUGACUUCCACUGGCGUCGGGCUUCCAGAUAGACUCGGUGGUUUGGACGCCAUGAAAUCCUUGUAUUUGCAUCCAUGUCCAUCAUUUCCUCCAUCCUUGUGGUUUUGCUUAACUAUUGGUGGGUUGGCUUGACCAACAGUCCCACUGUAGUUUCCCUCCUCAGUCUGCCCUUCGUUCAACUCGAGCUGUUCGACCUGUAUGGUCGCUUCCUCUCGAUUUUGUUGGAGCAAACGUUUGGUUUCCUCUAUUUGACGAUCCAACAUUUCCUGGAUCAUUGCUUGCACUCUAUCAAUCGUUAUUGGCUCAGCAGCGGCCACCACAACCGGUAUUUGCUCAAUCACUGGGGGCUGAUCUCGGUUCCCAUUUGCAUUCACGUUUUCGCUACAGGUCCUUGCCAUCUUGAUCUAUACAUCGAAUAAGGUGAAUCUAGAUCUUUAUUUAGGAUUGAUGUUUAAAUGAUCCUUAUCACCCCAAAAUGUUUAUAUGCUAGUUCUAAUAUCGUAGUUAAACGCUUAGAAUCCUAAACACAUAAGGUUUCUAGACCGGUCAGUAAUAGAUCAUAGAUCCGAACAAAUAACAACAUAUCACGCACAAAGCAUUUAGCACAUAAAAUCAUUUUAGGCACAAUCCCUAAAAUAAUCUAGUGCUCACACCUCAUAAUCAUCGCUUAGCANUAUAAAGCUCUGUGACAUCCUAGAAAAAUCAUAACUUUCGCAUACAAGCUCUGUGACAUCCCCAUUUUCACGGCCAGAAAAAACCGAUUUUUUUUAUGCUUUAUAAAAAUCAGACUACUUCUUUUCAUAAAAAUGUUGCGGAAUUUGGUCCCAGAAAAAUACGAUAAAUAUGUUAUCAAAACAUUUUUGAAGAAACGUAUUUUAUUCAUUUUAAAACGUUUGGGAUGUCAUUGUCAAUAUAGGAACAUAAGCAUAAACGGAACUUAAAUUUAUUUACGCUAGUGAUCUACAUUUCUUUAAUCUCUCAGUGUAAUGUCACUUCAUAUCGACACCUGUGAUAUAAAUAAACUGAGUGGGUCAGGUUGGGAAACCUAGCGAGUACUUAGGGUUUUCAACCCACAAUAAUAUAAUUAUUAUGUUUAAUCAUCAAACAGUUAACCCAAUUACCCAUCCCCAUUAUCUUCUUUAUUCUUAGGGAUCUACCCUAAGAAUCAGCUAUUUCUUGUUCAUUCAUUCCUAAGGAGUAUCCUAAGGAAUAUCUACGAAUUCCAUCAUUGUAAAUGACACAGCUGUCAAGCACCACUGCUAGUUCUGUCACUUAGGUGCGGCUGCCAAAAUUGUGACAUUCUCUAUGGGGAGCAUCUACCGAAAUAGUCCUUUUAGGCGCAACUGUCGAGUUUAUGAGGUUCUCUGUUAGGCGCUUCUACCGGUAGAGCCCUUUAGGCGCAUCUGCUAGGGUUUUAUUGACAGUAUCGUUUUCGAUAGUCCAUUCGCAAUAUAUAUCAAUGGGUUUUUAGAGUACACCGGUGAAUACAUUCUUCACAACACCUACAGUUUGUGAGCCUGCUAGUGUUCCACUGGACUAUCUAGAAUAGUCCGUGGUUGUCAUCCAUACUCUGUUGAAUGACGGGGCCAUCAUUUGGGAAAAAGGCUUCUCAUAUCGUCCACCUCUCACCCUCACCUCUCGGUCUAUUUCACCUCUCACCUCAUCAUCCAACUCAUAUUUCAUCUAUUACAUCUACCCAUGUCUUACCCCAACAUUUGUGUAGAUAUAAAAUACAUAUACAGUUUAAAUCAUUUAAAACGUGUAUAAAAUCGUUCAUCCAGCAUAGACAACAAGUACUCAGGUAAUAUGCACACAUAGCACGUAAUUUAUAUAAAAUACUUCAUAUCUAUGUGUAAGCUGAAAGGGACCAUGCACUCACCUGAAAGGUGGUGACUCAGCACUCGGACAACGCUUCGAUACACUUAAAACAAUUCUCCUUCUAUAAAAUCUAGUAUCAAUACCACUAGGGUUUAUUCUAACGUCAACCACGAGUAAUUAAUAGUCUGACUAUUAUUAUUAUUAUAUAAGCGUUAAAUAACACUCAAUAUAAUUCAUAAUAAUAGCCCAAAUAAUUAUUUUAAGGACCUAAUAAUAUUCCUAUAAU